rnacentral:tRNA from 1 species
GAGGGUAUAGCUCAGUGGUAGAGUAUGUGCUUAGCAUGCACAAGGUCCUAGGUUCAAUCCCAGUACCUCUG